AACGAACGCUGGCGGCAUGCCUAACACAUGCAAGUCGAACGAGACCUUCGGGUCUAGUGGCGCACGGGUGCGUAACGCGUGGGAACCUGCCCUUAGGUUCGGAAUAACUCCCCGAAAGGGGUGCUAAUACCGGAUAAUGUCUUCGGACCAAAGAUUUAUCGCCUUUGGAUGGGCCCGCGUUGGAUUAGCUAGUUGGUAGGGUAAAAGCCUACCAAGGCGACGAUCCAUAGCUGGUCUGAGAGGAUGAUCAGCCACACUGGGACUGAGACACGGCCCAGACUCCUACGGGAGGCGGCAGUGGGGAAUAUUGGACAAUGGGCUGAAGCAUGAUCCAGCAAUGCCGCGUGAGUGAUGAAGGCCUUAGGGUUGUAAAGCUCUUUUACACGGGAUGAUAAUGACAGUACCGGGAGAAUAAGCUCCGGCUAACUCCGUG
rnacentral:rRNA from 1 species